rnacentral:rRNA from 1 species
GACGAACGCUGGCGGCGCGCCUAACACAUGCAAGUUGAACGAGCGAGAGAGAGCUUGCUUUCUCGAGCGAGUGGCGAACGGGUGAGUAACGCGUGAGGAACCUGCCUCGGAGUGGGGAAUAACAGCCCGAAAGGGUUGCUAAUACCGCAUGAUGCAGCUGGGUCGCAUGACCCUGGCUGUCAAAGAUUUAUCGCUCUGAGAUGGCCUCGCGUCUGAUUAGCUAGUAGGCGGGGUAACGGCCCACCUAGGCGACGAUCAGUAGCCGGACUGAGAGGUUGACCGGCCACAUUGGGACUGAGACACGGCCCAG